GACGAACGCUGGCGGCGUGCUUAACACAUGCAAGUCGAACGGAAAGGCCCUGCUUGCAGGGUACUCGAGUGGCGAACGGGUGAGUAACACGUGGGUGAUCUGCCCUGCACUUCGGGAUAAGCCUGGUAAACUGGGUCUAAUACCGGACAGGAGCCAUUUUUAGUGUGAUGGUUGGAAAGUUUUUUCGGUGUAGGAUGAGCUCGCGGCCUAUCAGCUUGUUGGUGGGGUAAUGGCCUACCAAGGCGGCGACGGGUAGCCGGCCUGAGAGGGUGGACGGCCACAUUGGGACUGAGAUACGGCACAGACUCCUACGGGAGGCAGCAGUGGGGAAUAUUGCACAAUGGGCGCAAGCCUGAUGCAGCGACGCCGCGUGGGGGAUGACGGCCUUCGGGUUGUAAACUCCUUUCGCUAGGGACGAAGCUUUUUGUGACGGUACCUAGAGAAGAAGCACCGGCUAACUACGUG
rnacentral:rRNA from 1 species